UACCUCCUCAAGCCUUGCUUGGUGUUGGGUGUUUGUCUCCUGUAGACUCGCCUUAAAACAAUUGGCAGCCGGCGUAUUGAUUUCGGAGCGCAGUACAUCUCGCGCUUUGCACUCAUAACGACGACAUCCAAAAGUACAUUUUUACAC
rnacentral:misc_RNA from 1 species